UAGUACCGUGGAGGAAAGUUGAAAAGAACUUUGAAGAGAGAGUUCAAGAGUACGUGAAACCGUUCAGGGGUAAACCUGAGAAACCCAAAAGAUCGAAUGGGGAGAUUCAUCGUCAGCCGCUUUGGCUUCCGUGUGGUGCGCGAUGAUCAGGAUCUCGGUUCUGUGUCACGCGCCCGCUGCGGUACGUCCGAGGUGGUCGGCGUGCACUUCUCCCCUAGUAGGACGUCGCGACCCGUUGGGUGCCGGCCUACGGCCCGGUCGGUCGACUGUCGCGUCGCGUUCACGCGCGCACGCGUCAGACCACUGGUUGCCUGGCCUGCUGCUCGGCGGUAUAGAAUUGUCAUAUAACGGUAUUGAGCCGCAUUGAAGUGCGUUCAGGCUCGUCGGCCGGCUCGCCUCGCUCGGAUUUACGGACCUAGCGCCGUUGCCGGGUGCUUGGCGCUGCUGUUAGUCGGCGAUGUCCUCGGACUGGCUCGUAUUAUAUUCGAACGGAUAUACCGGUCGGCGACGCUACUGCUUUGGGUACUUUCAGGACCCGUCUUGAAAACCGGACCAAA
rnacentral:rRNA from 1 species